rnacentral:rRNA from 1 species
AGCGCAGGCGGGAAACUAAGCGGAUCUUAAAAGUGCGGGGCUCAACCCCGUGAUGGGGUCCGAACUGGUUUUCUUGAGUGCAGGAGAGGAAAGCGGAAUUCCCAGUGUAGCGGUGAAAUGCGUAGAUAUUGGGAAGAACACCAGUGGCGAAGGCGGCUUUCUGGACUGUAACUGACGCUGAGGCUCGAAAGCUAGGGUAGCGAAC